rnacentral:rRNA from 1 species
AUUGAACGCUAGCGGGAUGCUUUACACAUGCAAGUCGAACGAGUGGCGGACGGGUGAGUAAUAUAUCGGAACGUGCCCAGUAGAGGGGGAUAACUACUCGAAACGGUGGCUAAUACCGCAUACCAUCGGAUCUGCCCAUAUCGGAUUAGCUUGUUGGUGGGGUAAAGGCUCACCAAGGCAACGAUCCGUAGCUGGUUUGAGAGGAUGACCAGCCACACUGGAACUGAGACACGGCCCAGACUCCUACGGGAGGCAGCAGUGGGGAAUUUUGGACAAUGGGCGAAACCCUGAUCCAGCCAUCCCGCGUGUAUGAGAAGGCCUUCGGGUUGUAAAGUACUUUUGGCAGAGAGGCGGUAUCUGCAGAAUAAGCACCGGCUAACUACGUGCCAGCCGCCGCGGUAAUAC